GGAGAGGGAAAGGGAGAGGGAGAGAGCAAUACAGGUUCUGUCAAAUGUUAGCAUCUCUUUGUAUUCUGUAGUUAAACUGUAAACAAAGUUGGACUAUAGAAUCACACAACAGCCCAGGUUUGAGGGGGUCUUAAAAGAUCAUCUGGUCCAACCUUUCAUGGGAAAGGUAGCCUAGAUUAAAUUAAUGUUUAUUCACUCCCAGUUUGAAAGCCUCCAGUGAUGGUGAUGCUGCCACAUUCCUGAGGAGGUUGUUCCAUAAAUGAUUGUUCUUACUGUACAAAAUUUCUUAUGUCAAGAUGCAAGGUGGAGAACCCAUUGCCAGGAGGAUGAAUGAUGGAGAAUCUAUUACAAGAAGGAUGAAUGAUGAAUAACCUAUUACCAGAAAGAGGUUGCUUCAUUCUCCCGGUACCAUAAAACCUUGAUUGUCUAGAGGAUUUGUCUUAGAGAAUAAUGCUGUUGUGUGCCACAAGCAACCACUGCCUCAGUUUGGUUCAUCUCCUAGCAUGUCUACAAAAGGGUGUUUAGACCCAGCCUUAGUUCCCUCAUGUAGGAGUCACUGCGGCUAAAGAAAACACUCCUAGGACAAAUUCUUGAAGAACUAUUUAACCUUUGAAAGCAAAUGGAAUUUGAGUCAAAACAGUAGUUGCUCCAGACUACAAAAGCCUGGAAGUCUUGCUCCUGAAUUUGCUGUGUUGCAGCAAAUCCCCAAACAAACAGUUGCUGUCAUCAGAGCAGAUCCAGUUCAUUUAUUUUGCUGCAAAAUAUCUGUUUCUUAUACAAGCUCUGAGAUAAUACUUAAGUACUACCAAAAAUUAACAUCUUGACAUGCUUGGACUUCAGGUCAAACCCAAAUACUACUUGGAUUAUCUAGUAGCACUGUGAUAGGUUUUCUAGGAGUCACCUUACUCAGGUAGAUCUUUUCCCAUCCUCCAAUUUUUCUGGAAGAAAUGAGACCAAUCAUAAGACUUUCAAAUACAUAUUUUAAUGUAUUUUUCAAAAAUAUUAGUGUAUUUACAUAAGUCUCUCAUUUAGAAAUAUCUUGUACUUGCCUAUUUUAAAACACCUGGUUUAAAAAAGUUCAGCCAGAUGAUUACACAGAUUUGAAAGAACGUUGACUGUAGAUAUGAGCAAUUAAAAAACACAACAAACAUACACCAUUGCAUUAACAUUGAGUGCACAUUUUUAAGUUACUGACUUCUACAAAUUGUUCUUCCCAUAAAAAUUGCUUAGUCUGUGUCAGUAACUUGUACCCACUUUUACACUGGAAUUUGCAUUUCCUUUUUCCUCACAGAAUCUAGCCCCCGCCCCCCCUGCCCCUUCACUUAUACAAAGGUUGCAAUAAAAUGCAUUACAGUAGUAUUUCAUUUACAAAGCAAAUGACAUUAAAACUUGUUUCUUAACCCAUUGGAUUGUACUUUAGUAAAACAAUGUCCUUUCAUGGAGGUGCAGCAGAGAUUCCAAGAGCUGCCUGGAUGUGGAAAAUGAUCACUCUUUCAAAGCAGUCCUGCCUGGGAAGGUUGAGUUGAAUUGUUUCAUGAUGCUGUGUCAAUUCCUCUUUGGAAGGAUCUCAUCCUCAAGUUUGGCAAUUAGGAUAGUAUGUUAAACAUUCUCAGGGCUGGAUAGGGCAUACCCCAUCAUCUGGACCUUCAGACCAAGCACUUCACUGGCAGCCGUGUCCCUUGGGUAAAUGGGAUUCUGCAAAAUGACAGUGCAGCUUGUGUGGGCAGGGGACAGGCCACGUCCCAAAGUAAGUAAUUAAUUCCCUCAGGGCCUCAUGGCUGUCACAAACAUCACCAUCUUCUGCUUCCUGUGCUAGAUGCAAUUCCUAGAGCUUGUGUUCUUGGAUGCAAAGGGAGUACUAAUAGUACCUGCCAAGACAUGCGGUCUUUCCCUUGGAAAAAAAAAAAAGGAUGAGAAAACAAACUACAUAUGAUAGAUGUUAGUCAUGUUGCUUAUUGCACUGUUGGCAUAAUCUCCCCCUGGGGCUCCUAUACUCACAUCCAGGAUUUGGGGAUGAGUCAGGCAUACUGCAUAUGUACUUAUGGAUGAUCUGAGCAUACACAGAAUAUAAUGGGAAUUUCAUGAUGUCCCAACUUGCUUUUGCUUCCCUCUGUGCCACAAGGUGUCUGUAAAUCCUAGACAGAGUCCUUCUCUGAGACAAGGUUGCUGGAUGGAAUAACACAGUAUACCUCCAAGGAGCUGCAUGUGUGGGAGCAUCAGUUAAUUUGCUAUAAUUGAAUAGACUAAUGUUGCUAAAUCUUAUGACAUUAUUGCUGGCCAUGUGACGUUGGUGGUGAUUUCUUGAAAUCUCUAGAUUCUGGAGUCAUGUUAACACUCAAGGAUCUCUAUUAAACAAAGAUUUCAGCCUCCACAUUUAUAAGAUAAAGUUGUUUCCUGGGAUUCCCCAGCAUAUCAAAAAGUGAAGGCAAGUAAGAACACACUGAACCUGUAUUUUGAAAACCAAAAGUCUUUAAACCCAUCACAUGGCUUUGGGGGACCUGAACAUUUAUUUCUGAACAGCUUGCUGUGGCAACUUGAUAAUUUUCCUUUAAUAGUUAUGUCUGUUCUUGUGCAGCUUGGCUUCCUACACCUUCUGUAAUAAAACUAUCAAUGUUUUGUGUAUAUUAAACUGCUUUAUUUUUACUUAGAGUUCCUGAAGUCACUAACAGGCAAGACAGUGUUGUAUGCAAGGCAAUUAUUCAGGCAUUACAAGAUUAAAACACAGAAUAUAUUUCCUUGGGAAAUAAAGAUUUCAGACAGUU